rnacentral:tRNA from 1 species
AGUAGGUGCCGAGUAGUGCAGUGUAGCCUGUUACGGGGCAUUCGCCCCCCCCAACAG